rnacentral:rRNA from 1 species
UACGGAAGGUAGCAGUGGGGAAUAUUGCACAAUGGGCGCAAGCCUGAUGCAGCCAUGCCGCGUGUAUGAAGAAGGCCUUCGGGUUGUAAAGUACUUUCAGUCGUGAGGAAGGUGUUAAGGUUAAUAACCUUAGCAAUUGACGUUAGCGACAGAAGAAGCACCGGCUAACUCCGUGCCAGCAGCCGCGGUAAUACGGAGGGUGCGAGCGUUAAUCGGAAUUACUGGGCGUAAAGGGCACGCAGGCGGUUAAUUAAGUUGGAUGUGAAAUCCCCGGGCUUAACCUGGGAAUGGCAUUCAAGACUGGUUAGCUAGAGUCUUGUAGAGGGGGUAGAAUUCCAUGUGUAGCGGUGAAAUGCGUAGAGAUGUGGAGGAAUACCGGUGGCGAAGGCGGCCCCUGGACAAAGGCUGACGCUCAUGUGCGAAAGCGUGGGGAGCAAAC